rnacentral:misc_RNA from 1 species
GGAAGGAUAAAAAAGAAGAAUCAGGAAAGAGAAAGAAAAGGGAAAAGGAAAGGAAAAGAAAAAAAGAAAGGAAGGAGAAUAAGAGAAAGGAAGAGGGAGAAAGAUGGCUGGAUUUUUUUUGAGUUUCUCUAGCAAGAAACAACACCGACAAGGGGAAAAGAAGGAUUUUGGUUUAGGAUACUAGAAAUAAAAAAGAGAAAAGGGAGAAAAAAA